rnacentral:rRNA from 1 species
AACGAACGCUGGCGGCAUGCCUAACACAUGCAAGUCGAACGAGAUCUUCGGGUCUAGUGGCGCACGGGUGCGUAACGCGUGGGAAUCUGCCCUUUGGUUCGGAAUAACAGUUGGAAACGACUGCUAAUACCGGAUGAUGACGAAAGUCCAAAGAUUUAUCGCCAGAGGAUGAGCCCGCGUAGGUUUAGCUAGUUGGUGUGGUAAAGGCGCACCAAGGCGACGAUCCUUAGCUGGUCUGAGAGGAUGGUCAGCCACACUGGGACUGAGACACGGCCCAGACUCCUACGGGAGGCAGCAGUGGGGAAUAUUGGACAAUGGGCGAAAGCCUGAUCCAGCAAUGCCGCGUGAGUGAUGAAGGCCUUAGGGUUGUAAAGCUCUUUUACCCGGGAUGAUAAUGACAGUACCGGGAGAAUAAGCUCCGGCUAACUCCGUGCCAGCCGCCGCGGUAA